CUGGAUUAGCCCUUAAGCACUCGGUGAAGUAGGUGAACAAGCUGGAAAGCUUGGCGAUACAGGGUGAUAGCCCCGUAACCGACGCUUCAUCGAGCGUGAAAUCGAGUAGGGCGGGACACGUGAUAUCCUGUCUGAAUAUGGGGGGACCAUCCUCCAAGGCUAAAUACUCCUGACUGACCGAUAGUGAACCAGUACCGUGAGGGAAAGGCGAAAAGAACCCCUGUGAGGGGAGUGAAAUAGAACCUGAAACCGUGUACGUACAAGCAGUAGGAGCACCUUCGUGGUGUGACUGCGUACCUUUUGUAUAAUGGGUCAGCGACUUAUAUUCAGUGGCAAGGUUAACCGUAUAGGGGAGCCGUAGCGAAAGCGAGUCUUAACUGGGCGCUCAGUCUCUGGAUAUAGACCCGAAACCGGGUGAUCUAGCCAUGGGCAGGUUGAAGGUUGAGUAACAUCAACUGGAGGACCGAACCGACUAAUGUUGAAAAAUUAGCGGAUGACUUGUGGCUAGGGGUGAAAGGCCAAUCAAACUCGGAGAUAGCUGGUUCUCCCCGAAAGCUAUUUAGGUAGCGCCUCGGACGAAUACUACUGGGGGUAGAGCACUGUUAAGGCUAGGGGGUCAUCCCGACUUACCAACCCUUUGCAAACUCCGAAUACCAGUAAGUACUAUCCGGGAGACACACGGCGGGUGCUAACGUCCGUCGUGGAGAGGGAAACAACCCAGACCGCCAGCUAAGGUCCCAAAGUAUUGCUAAGUGGGAAACGAUGUGGGAAGGCUCAGACAGCUAGGAUGUUGGCUUAGAAGCAGCCAUCAUUUAAAGAAAGCGUAAUAGCUCACUAGUCGAGUCGGCCUGCGCGGAAGAUGUAACGGGGCUAAGCA
rnacentral:rRNA from 1 species